GGCGCAAGCCUGAUCUAGCCAUGCCGCGUGAGUGACGAAGGCCUUAGGGUCGUAAAGCUCUUUCGCCAGAGAUGAUAAUGACAGUAUCUGGUAAAGAAACCCCGGCUAACUCCGUGCCAGCAGCCGCGGUAAUACGGAGGGGGUUAGCGUUGUUCGGAAUUACUGGGCGUAAAGCGCACGUAAGCGGAUUGGAAAGUAUGGGGUGAAAUCCCAGGGCUCAACCCUGGAACGGCCUUGUAAACUCCCAGUCUAAAGUUCGAGAGAGGUGAGUGGAAUUCCAAGUGUAGAGGUGAAAUUCGUAUAUAUUUGGAGGAACACCAGUGGCGAAGGCGGCUCACUGGCUCGAUACUGACGCUGAGGUGCGAAAGUGUGGGGAGCAAACAGGAUUAGAUACCCUGGUAGUCCACACCGUAAACGAUGAAUGCCAGACGUCAGGGGGCUUGCCCUUUGGUGUCACACCUAACGGAUUAAGCAUUCCGCCUGGGGAGUACGGUCGCAAGAUUAAAACUCA
rnacentral:rRNA from 1 species